AACUUUUGGCAAUGGAUCUCUCUCCACUGAAACCGCAAACGCCUGGCUGAAAUGGUGGAAACGCGUGGAUAGCGUGCUCAUUCUUACGUUGGAAGCGACGGCGCUUCCGCCCGAGAUCGCAGCGCUCGCGGAAGCGCGGGUGCAAGCAAGGCUUGCAAAAGAUUUCCGAAAAAGUGAUCUAUUGCGCGACGAGUUAGGCGCCCGCGGCUGGGACGCGCGCGAUACCAAGGAUGGACAGAAAAUCACGCGGCGUUCCGACGCUUAGUUCGUCACGAAAUGUGUUCGCCCGAAGAGUUCCUCAGCCUGGAGCAUACCGCUCACGCAAAGCUUUUCGAAAAUCAGAAGUAUGCCUGGGAUCAGCUUAAGAAUAUCAAUAAGAGGAGGCU
rnacentral:misc_RNA from 1 species